AGCUGAGGAGGCCGAGCGGCCGCCGGGGGCGCUGCGGGAGCCUCCGCGGAGAAGGGGCCGCUCCCGCGGGCGCGCUCCGCCCCGCGCCGCCGCUGCGGAGCGGCAAGCGAGGGCCCGGAGAGCCCCAGGUGCGGCCUGCCCGGCGAAGGGCCCUGCCCGGCUCAGGCGGCCUUCCCCUGCUGCGGCUUAUACUUUCCAGGGGCCACUCGGAACCACUUUGAUCCCCCUCCAGCACCUCCAUGAAAAGGGAUCUGGUGAGCGGAUUUGAGUGUCGCAGUGCUGCGUCUUAGAGAGCGAAGGUUUUAGUUUGCUGCUACCGAGCAAUGAGUUUGAAGUGCUGCAACUGGGCCGUGUGGCUUGAAACACCUUUUGCAGUAGAGUGGUCCACUGCCAUACGUGCUGCAAAAUGCUGUGCAACUACUUUGCACAUGAUUAAAAAAUAAAUAAAUAAAACGCAGUUGUGAAAGGCUUUUCGGAUUUAAAUCCUCCUACGUUACCACAAUUCUUUUCUUAGCCACUCCACUGUUGCACAAGCCUGGGGAGCACAAACAUAGUGUCAGCGUCUUGACUUCGCAGCAGUGCGUGCCAGCCCUGGCAGCCCUGGCGAUCAGCAAUCCCGUGCUGCUGGCCGGCGAGGUGUGUUUACGAGGCGGCUCUGACGCAACCCCGCAGCAGGAGCUGGGUGAGAGGUUUCCUCCUCGGGAGGCCAACCCUUGCAAUUGCGCGUCCAUGUGGUGAGCGCACGAGUGACCUGACGUGAUAAAUAUGCGAGGGACAUGCUGGUGUUUACUGAGGUACGCGCUGAGUCAUUGCUCAGCUUGUGGGGCUCCUCCUCAGCAGAGGCUCAUCUUCCUGGAAGCUGCUUCCUCAGUCAGCUACCCUCAGAGCUGACUAGGGAAGAGCAUGUUUUUCAGAAAUCUGCAAAUACUCUGAAAUUAUUUUUUCUUCUGUCUGAAAUUAUUGCUCAAAAUCAUAAGCAUUAAAGUGGUUUUUCCUAAGUAAACUCACUUAUGUGGA